rnacentral:rRNA from 1 species
UACGUAGGCAGCGAGCGUUGUUCGGAAUUACUGGGCGUAAAGGAUGCGUAGGCGGACAUUUAAGUCAGAUGUGAAAUACCCGAGCUUAACUUGGGUGCUGCAUUUGAAACUGGGUGUCUAGAGUGCAGGAGAGGUAAGUGGAAUUCCUAGUGUAGCGGUGAAAUGCGUAGAGAUUAGGAAGAACACCAGUGGCGAAGGCGACUUACUGGACUGUAACUGACGCUGAGGCAUGAAAGCGUGGGGAGCAAACAGG